CCUACGGGUGGCAGCAGUGGGGAAUAUUGCACAAUGGGGGAAACCCUGAUGCAGCGACGCCGCGUGAGUGAAGAAGUAUUUCGGUACGUAAAGCUCUAUCAGCAGGGAAGAAAAUGACGGUACCUGACUAAGAAGCCCCGGCUAACUACGUGCCAGCAGCCGCGGUAAUACGUAGGGGGCAAGCGUUAUCCGGAUUUACUGGGUGUAAAGGGAGCGUAGACGGCAGCGCAAGUCUGGAGUGAAAUCCCAUGGCUUAACCAUGGAACUGCUUUGGAAACUGUGCAGCUAGAGUGCAGGAGAGGUAAGCGGAAUUGCUAGGGUAGCGGUGAAAUGCGUAGAUAUUAGGAGGAAAACCAGUGGCGAAGGCGGCUUACUGGACUGUAACUGACGUUGAGGCUCGAAAGCGUGGGGAGCAAACAGGAUUAGAUACCCUAGUAGUC
rnacentral:rRNA from 1 species